rnacentral:sRNA from 1 species
UAUUAGUAUUCAAAUGUUGCCGACCUCAAUCAACU